rnacentral:rRNA from 1 species
AUGCCCCCACCGAGGAUCGCCUUGUCCGCGCCCCACCACGACGUACUCCGCCUCCUCGACGCCCAGGACCUACCCGCCGCGGCGCGCCUCGCGGCCGCGCACGCCUCGUCCCCCCUCUCCCUCGCCGCCGUCCUCCUCCGCCACCCGCCGCCCCGUCUCGGGUACUGCCUCCACGCCCGCGCCGCGCGCGCGGGCCUCCUCAACGACCGCUACCUCGCCAACGCCCUCCUCGCCUUCUACGUCCGCCUCCCGCGCCACCUACCCCACGCGCUCAGGGCGUUCGACGACCUCCCUCAGCGCGACGUCGUCGCGCACUCCUCCAUCCUCGCCGCGUUCCUCCACGCGGGGCUUCCCCGCCGCGCUCUCCAGUCGCUCAGGUCCAUGGCCGCGGGCGCGGACGGCGUCUCACCCAACGCCCACGCAUUCUCCGCCGCCGUCAAGGCCUGCGCUGUGCUCCACGACCGCAACGCGGGCGCCUGCGUCCACGGGAGCAUCCUUGUCCGCGGAUUCAGCGACGAUGACAUCGUGCUGAGUGCGCUAGUCGACAUGUACGGCCAUGCGGCUUCGCCAGGUGAUGCACGGAAGGCGUUCGAGGAAAUGCGCGCCCCUGAUGGGAUAUGCUACACCUCGCUGUUAUCAGCAUUUGUGCGGAACGAUUGGUUUGAGGAGGCUGUGAGAUGGUUCCGGACUAUGGUCAUGACGAAUGGGGUUGAGCUGGAUGGCUGCACAUUUGGUUCAAUGAUGACAGCGCUAGGGAACUUGAGGAGGGUGAGGCAGGGCCGCGAGGCGCAUGCUCAGGUACUGACCCGUGGUCUUUGUGGGAAUGUGAUCGUGGAGAGCAGCACGCUCGACAUGUACGCCAAGUGCGGGGCGAUGUUGGAGGCACGCAAGGUGUUUGACAAGAUGCAGGUCAGGAAUGCAGUUUCAUGGUGUGCGUUGCUUGGAGGUUAUUGCAAUAACACAGAGUACGAGAAGGUUCUUGUGCUGUUUCGACAGAUGGAUAGGGAAUGCGAUGACUCAUAUAGCUUGGGGACUAUUCUAAGGGCAUGUGCUGGCCUAUCUUCUGUAAAGCCAGGAAAAGAGAUCCAUUGCCGGUUUCUGAGGAGUGGAGGCUGGAGAGAUGUGGUUGUUGAGUCUGCACUUGUAGACCUAUAUGCAAAAUGUGGCGCUGUAGACUAUGCUUAUAGAGUUUUUGAAGCAAGCAGUGUCCGUAACACAAUUACUUGGAAUGCCAUGAUUGGCGGCUUCGCUCAGAAUGGCCAUGCUGAGCACGCUAUCAAUUUGUUCAAUCGGAUGGUCAGCGAAGGGGCGAAACCCGACUACGUCAGUUUCAUUGGUGUUCUUUUUGCAUGUAAUCAUACUGGAAUGGUUGAGCAAGGACGGAACUACUUCAAAUCUAUGAGCAAAGACUAUGGCAUUGCCCCCGGAAUUGAACACUACAAUUGCAUUGUUGAUCUUCUCAGCAGAGUAGAACUUCUGGAGGAGGCUGAAGAUCUGAUAAACAAGUCACCUUUCAGAGAUGAUUCGUCCUUGUGGGCACCAAUCCUUGGUGCUUCUUCCACACAUUCAAACCCAGAUGUAGCAGAAAGGGUUGCCAAGAAAAUGAUGGAGUUAAAGCCUCAGUACCACUUGAGCUACGUUCUUCUUGAAAAUGUGUACAGAACAGUUGGACGGUGGGAAGAUGCUUUAGAGAUAAGGAGGCUGAUGAGAUCAAGAAAGGUCGAAAAGGAGCCCGGAAUGAGCUGGAUUGAUGUAAACAGAAGCAAACAACAUAUGUCAAAUGUUAAUGGGGCAGCUUCAGAACUAGUAGCCUCCGAGGACAUCAUCACAUGUGACAACUGA